UCGUUUUCGUAGAGCAGCCGCGAGCAGGCAGCCGCUGCUGCAGCGACGCCGGCGUUAUUUCCUCUCUUCGGCGACACGCAGCCGAUGCUGCCGCUGCUGCUGCUGCUGCUACUACUACUACACCGCGGCUAUUCCUCUCCUCGGCGCUUUUCCGCCGGCUGAACCACUUGCCGGCCGUUUGAAUUUUCCCGCGGCGAGCUUUUCACGCAUCUGACAAGAGAGAGAGAGAUAGGCGAGAGUUUGAGUUUAUUUCAAGAGAGACGUUGCGGUUGUAGAGUGUGGCCUUGAUCUCGCGCGAGAGAGAGGAGAGAGAUUUUUGCACGAGGCUUUUCUUUGUACGCCGAUUUUCGAGUGCGCUGGAUACUAUACGAGGUUUGGCGAGGGAGAAAAAGAGGAUACCGACGACCGGCUGUACACAAGUGCUUUCGACCGAUUCAGCGAUGCGUAUAGGAACCACGACGAGUCGAGAAGAGGGAAAAAAAGUUGCAGUGCCCGCAACCAACGCACGGGCCGCCGGCAUAUAUUAUAUAGACUACAUCCUUCGAAGCAUGCGCCAAUGCGCCACUAGGCAAAAGAAUCACGUUUACAUAACAACUGGUUGGAGAGGAAUAUACAGGCAGUCUGGUGCUCGUUAACGUGUCAAAGUCUGGUAACUCCACCACCGUUGGCGGAAUGUUAAAAAGCCAAUGGGGUACGAGUUUCCUACCAUUGACGCGUUGUUCAACAGGAAUGUGUGAAUAGGCGAUGAGUUUGCUGUUUGCUUGAGGAAUAUGUACGAGGUAAUGAAAAAUUGUAAGAUGGCAUAAUUACUAUAAGAAUAAAUUGCUUUCAGACA